rnacentral:ncRNA from 1 species
GGACUUAGAAGUUCUUGAUGUUCUGUAAGUAUGCAGCAAUGGUUGAACACGAUGUUCAACCAAGCCGCCACUGAGCCACGGAUGGCGAAUUGGCGGCGGUUGCGUACGGUAUAAUAUGUAUAUCAGAACAUCUAGUACUUCUUAG